GGGAGUGACGGGCUUCGAAGAUGUUCUUAUCCAAAACGAUGCUAGGGGUGGAUGGCCGUUAACCACUUAAAAAAUUCGACCAAACCUAUAACUGGCAAUCAAAAUACCAGCUACGCCUUCGCGUAAAGUGUAAGGCGCAUCUUGCUCCGAUGCUCGCUAGGAGAGUACAAGGUGUCAUCAGCGAACUUUGACAGAACCGUAGUUUCUCCGGUUUCUGUUGAGCAUUAGCAGGAACUAGUCUGCGCUUAUUUUUUCGGUUUUAUAUGCGCUGGCAAAACACCAAACCGGAUAUCUUAGUAGACGUCGUUAUGGAAAAAUAUCUGAUGGCGGUUCAACUCUGCCCACUUCCACUG
rnacentral:tmRNA from 1 species